rnacentral:rRNA from 1 species
AAUAGAUACCCGGGUAGUCCACGCCGUAAACGAUGUCGACUUGGAGGUUGUGCCCUUGAGGCGUGGCUUCCGGAGCUAACGCGUUAAGUCGACCGCCUGGGGAGUACGGCCGCAAGGUUAAAACUCAAAUGAAUUGACGGGGGCCCGCACAAGCGGUGGAGCAUGUGGUUUAAUUCGAUGCAACGCGAAGAACCUUACCUACUCUUGACAUCCAGAGAACUUAGCAGAGAUGCUUUGGUGCCUUCGGGAACUCUGAGACAGGUGCUGCAUGGCUGUCGUCAGCUCGUGUUGUGAAAUGUUGGGUUAAGUCCCGCAACGAGCGCAACCCUUAUCCUUUGUUGCCAGCGGUUAGGCCGGGAACUCAAAGGAGACUGCCAGUGAUAAACUGGAGGAAGUGGGGAUGACGUCAAGUCAUCAUGGCCCUUACGAGUAGGGCUACACACGUGCUACAAUGGCGCAUCAAAGAGAAGCGACCUCGCGAGAGCAAGCGGACCUCAUAAAGUGCGUCGUAGUCCGGA